AACGAACGCUGGCGGCAUGCCUAACACAUGCAAGUCGAACGAGAUCUUCGGGUCUAGUGGCGCACGGGUGCGUAACGCGUGGGAAUCUGCCCUUUGGUUCGGAAUAACAGUUGGAAACGACUGCUAAUACCGGAUGAUGACGAAAGUCCAAAGAUUUAUCGCCAGAGGAUGAGCCCGCGGAGGAUUAGCUAGUUGGUGUGGUAAAGGCGCACCAAGGCGACGAUCCUUGGCUGGUCUGAGAGGAUGAUCAGCCACACUGGGACUGAGACACGGCCCAGACUCCUACGGGAGGCAGCAGUGGGGAAUAUUGGACAAUGGGCGAAAGCCUGAUCCAGCAAUGCCGCGUGAGUGAUGAAGGCCUUAGGGUUGUAAAGCUCUUUUACCCGGGAUGAUAAUGACAGUACCGGGAGAAUAAGCUCCGGCUAACUCCGUGCCAGCAGCCGCAGUAA
rnacentral:rRNA from 1 species